AACGCACAUUGCACUCCUUGGUAUUCCGAGGAGUAUGCCUGUUUCAGUAUCAUGAGCACUCUCACAUCUAAUCUUUGUUGGUUAAGAUUGUGGAAUUGGGAUGCGCCAAUUGUUAUUGAUUGGCCCUCCUAAAAUGUAGCUCUUGACUGUGGACUACUAUAGUAGUUUGGCUUAAUAGUUUUGGCACUUGUUUGUCAAAUCUUUGGCUACAUUUACUUUGGUCCAUGCAGUCUUGAUAUACAGAAAACUCAAAUACAACUUUGAUCUGAAAUCAGGUAGGGCUACCCGCUGAACUUAA
rnacentral:misc_RNA from 1 species